rnacentral:rRNA from 1 species
GAUGAACGCCGGCGGUGUGCCUAAUACAUGCAAGUCGUACGCACUGGCCCAACUGAUUGAUGGUGCUUGCACCUGAUUGACGAUGGAUCACCAGUGAGUGGCGGACGGGUGAGUAACACGUAGGUAACCUGCCCCGGAGCGGGGGAUAACAUUUGGAAACAGAUGCUAAUACCGCAUAACAACAAAAGCCACAUGGCUUUGUUUGAAAGAUGGCUUUGGCUAUCACUCUGGGAUGGACCUGCGGUGCAUUAGCUAGUUGGUAAGGUAACGGCUUACCAAGGCGAUGAUGCAUAGCCGAGUUGAGAGACUGAUCGGCCACAAUGGAACUGAGACACGGUCCAU